AUACGUAGGGAGCGAGCGUUGUCCGGAAUUACUGGGUGUAAAGGGAGCGUAGGCGGGAGUGCAAGGCAGAUGUGAAAUACAUGGGCUCAACCCAUGGGCUGCAUUUGAAACUGCAUUUCUUGAGUGAAGUAGAGGUCAUCGGAAUUCCUGGUGUAGCGGUGAAUUGCGUAGAGAUCGGGAGGAACACCAGUGGCGAAGGCGGGUAACUGGACUGCAACUGACGCUGAGGCGCGAAAGUGUGGGGAGCAAACAGGAUUAGAUACCCUGGUAGUCCACACUGUAAACGAUGAAUGCUAGGUGUAGGGGGUAUCGACCCCUUCUGUGCCGCAGUCAACACAAUAAGCAUUCCGCCUGGGGAGUACGGCCGCAAGGUUGAAACUCAAAUGAAUUGGCGGGG
rnacentral:rRNA from 1 species